UACGUAGGGGGCUAGCGUUGUCCGGAUUUAUUGGGCGUAAAGAGCGUGUAGGCGGCCAGGUAGGUCCGUUGUGAAAACUCGAGGCUCAACCUCGAGACGUCGGCGGAAACCCUCUGGCUAGAGUCCGGAAGAGGAGAGUGGAAUUCCUGGUGUAGCGGUGAAAUGCGUAGAUAUGCGGAGGAACACCGAUGGCGAAGGCGGGUCUCUGGGCCGAUACUGACGCUGAGGAGCGAAAGCGUGGGGAGCGAACAGG
rnacentral:rRNA from 1 species